rnacentral:sRNA from 1 species
ACAUUCCACAUCUUAAUUUCAAAACAGAGAUACUAAUAUAAAAAAAUAUCCAAUACAAAGUCACCUAAUCGCUAAUCUACUUUUUGAAGCUAGAUAAUCGUAAUCUAACAAAACAUUGUAGCGAAUUUACUUCGUUAAAUUUGUGUUUUUAUUGCAUGUAACUAAAUGCAUGAAAUUUUUUUUAUCAACAUGUCACGUUGUGAAAUUCAAUCUUUUGGAGUAUUUUCAAUUAUUUUGUAAAUUAAUUUUUCGGACUUUGUGUUAACUGCUACUAAAACUUUUCAUCUAUUUCGACAACUGUUUUAAAGACGUUAUAAAUUCAGCGCAGCAUUAAUCCAACCUGAGGCACACUCAGUGAGGGACAGCUAAUCUUUUAAUUGACUUCUGUUUAUGUUUAUCGAAACUUCUUUCAUCUUAUUAUCCUUUUAUGUACAUGCUGCUAAAAUGUCACGAAUCACUCAAUAGCUGUUCUUUAAUUGAUUUUCUUACUUCUGUACAUAUUAUGUUAAUCCUUCAAAGUGUUAUUACAUUGUUCAUUUGAUUAUAAUAAUUCUGAAUUGUAAAUUAAAGGCAGUUGGAACCAGACCUUCAGUGCUGAUGCAUACCAAACUCACAUAAAAGUAUAUUUCAUGUAAAGUCUAUAUAAAAGUCUGAAAACUAAAGCGUGUUGGCUUGUUGGAGGUUUCAUGAGGCUGGUUCCAACAACAAGAGAAUAAGCUCAAGGUUGGCCCAGAAUUAGUCAUGUACGGGAAAGAGCGCCCCGUAAUAAACAUCUUAUUUCAAAAUUGUAAAAUACUUCAAACAUUGCUUCGGGUACCUGUCUCACUACAUGUAACAACAUGUUGUGUUAAAAGUUUUGAUAUUGUUUGUUACUUUCUACAAUAAAUUUUUACUUAUUGAUUUAUAUAACGAACGUUUUCAGUUGAAGCAAUUCGUGACAAUUUCAGAACUCUAAUAUAUUUUCAAUAUUGCCUCGGGCACCUGCUCAUGGCAUGCAUUAAACUCAUGUGUGUAUAUCUUGUAUAUUCUGUGUUAGUUCCAGUGUUUUUCUGAUCGUUAGCAAAUAAAAUUGUCUUUU